AAAUUGACCUCAAAUCAGGUAGGACUACCCGCUGAACUUAAGCAUAUCA
rnacentral:rRNA from 1 species